rnacentral:misc_RNA from 1 species
AAGUCGUAACAAGGUAACCGUAGGUGAACCUGCGGUUGGAUCAUUAAUAAAAGAAGGGCUUUAGAGCUCGACUUCACUAGUGUCUGCCUAAAAAACAGGCCUAGUAUACCCUUGUGUGAACUGUUAAUGUCUCUGGCGAGACCACUCUUUACCGAGUACUCGCCAGUUUAUUUAUUAAACCCCGUUUUUAAAACACGUCUUAUCAAAUAUAUAAAUUUGAAACAACUUUUGACAACGGAUCUCUUGGCUCUC